GUGAUGUGGAGCCAGCCUCCCUGUGCACACAGCCCACACUGAGGCUGAAGGCCCAUCCUGUGAGGAACAAUGCCAGCAGCCAGCAAACUGCAUUAUGCUGUAUUAUGAGCCGGUAUUUACCAUCUGGCCCAAUCACAGUAACAAGCUGAGCACUUCUGAAUAAAAGACAUUUUUCCUCAAAAUUUAUACUGCCUCCAGUGCCAGUAUUCUCUAUGGACCCUGAGCACAUAAUUAUUUCAUGGGGUAUCCUGCACAUAGAUCCAAGCAGAUGCCGGGACAUCCUGCAGAAGUACCCACGGAGGGUUUAGGCUUUCCAAGGCACACAGGUCGUGCUUGACAUCUGGUUGCUGCAAAGACUAACACAAAAAUGUAUGAGAAAUUUAAUCGUGUUCCAAGAGCUGCAUCCCCGUUGAGCUGUGAACCCAGGCUUCCUUUGGCCUUUUUUGUGUGACAGUAUCUGUCGAACAACUUCUUCAAGAUGUCUCCUGGCAGCUUCUACCGGAUGCAUGCCAUUAUCUACUGUGCUGUCUCCUUGGGAAGGACCUCCACAUCCAACAGGUCAUGCAUUCUGUCAGCCAUAUCAGCUUGCCUAAGAAAGAUCCUGCCACUCCAUGUGAACUUGCUCUCCUGAAUGCUGUAAACCACCAGCACUCACAAAGGCACAAAUGUCAUGCACCUUUCUGAGAUGUUCCUGUCCAGCUCCAGGUUUCCCUCUCUCUUUCAGUCUUCAUGCUUCCUUCACACAACAAGGUUUUCACUUUCUUUCUGUUUCCCUUUAGCGCCACUCUUUUAGCCAAGUUAUUCUUCACCCUCCCAUCUUCUCCUAACUGACACAUCUGUUCACAUGCUCAAACUAUCACUUCUUUGAGGAAAUGCCAGUUCUCCCUCACUUCUUUUCUUUCUUCUCUCCCAUGGAAUCUGUCAAGAGUAGUUUUCUCCAUUCAUUUAUCCUCAGAUACGCAGUCCUUGAUGAGAAGCUCGGCGUAGGUCCCAGGGGCAUACUUUGUUAUUAUUAUUUUCAUAAAGAACAACAACAACAAAAAUCCAGACACAAGUUAAAAAUUGUAAAUCUUUCACUUGUCUUUAUCGGAGAUUCCAUACAGACUGGGGAAAUCUUCAGCCUGAGCCUUGGAGAUGAACAAAUAAAAAAAUCAAAUACAAAUUCAAUAAAUAAUAUAAUGAGCUCUUCAAACCUUCUGGAAAAGUUUAAUAAAUCCGAGAUACUUAGACACAUGUUUACCAUAUAACUAUUUGUAGGAACAUGGUACGUAUCAAAAAGUAAAAUGUACUUGCAUUCCUGUAGAGACAUAUUCUAAGGUGUGAGAAGAUUGUCCCAGUCAACAAAUGUCCUUCGCUUUCAAAGGCUGAACUAUUUUCUCAUAUAAAUAAAAGGACAAGCCAAUAAGUGACGGUUAUUUCAGUGGAGAAAAGUAACAGCUAAUCCUGGAGUUGAUUUUUCAUCGCAGACUGCAUUUGACAGCUUUGAAUUCAUCCUAAUUGUGAAAAAACACAAGAUGGUUAAAACAUCCUGUGUAAACAAGAAUGAAGACAUUGAUUGAAAUAAGCUUUUGGAAAGAGGCUGUUGUUUGUAAUACAAAGAAAUAGAAGAUUAUAUCCCAAAAGAAAAGUGUUCAAUGUUAUUAAAAUUAUAUUUCCAAUUUCUUUCCUUCCGUUGAUUUUUUUUUUUAAUUGGAGGGCCAAAAUAUCCUCAGGACAGCGAGCUGCAGUCAGCAUUUUGCAAGAAGAAUCUUUCCAUUGGAAGACUUCCAACCAGGUCUCCAUUUCAGUUCUGCAGAACAUAUAAUUGAUUUUUCCAUAUAGUUAUAGUCUAUUAGAUGCAUUUAAAUCUUUACAUUGCUGCCUGUUUGAUGUGGGCGACGUAUUUUAUCCACUGUAAAUGGUAAUUUCUUCUUUCCAGUUUUCUAGGUGGAAUUCUGCAGUUACUAUUCACAAGCUAAGGUCCAGACUUUGGUGUUGGAAUUCUUGCUCUUUCACUGUGGCAUAACCUACCUAUGCUUGCAGCCACACAACUGUUGGGGUGACAGCAUGUACACAAACAGCUAAUCUGUAUGAGAACACCAGGCAUAGCAACACACUUGCUCAUCUAUAUGAACAAGUGAACUGACACCACAUUCAGUUUUUCACUAAAGCAAUUGUAUCUAGAAAUUAUGGGUCUGCUCUACUGUGAACUUCCCUUCAUACACACAAUGAAAAAUCCCAAAUCUUUCUGAGGUUCUAAAAAGGAUUAAAAAAAAACCCUCUUUCUUCCAGUUCAUUGUUGGAUAUGUUAACCAGGAUCAGAGAUGUUCCCAUGAAGUUACAAAUGGGAACUGAAGACUGAAGAGCUACAGCUUUACUUUAGUAAGUUCUAGGGAAGUACCAGCUUUUCAAAGGGUUGUUACUGUUGAAGUUUCCAGUCUUUGAAGGCUUGAGGGUCAUCACUCUUUCCUCAUAUCAUGCCACCACUUUAGAUAGAAAGUAUGCAACAUUAAAAGUAUCGUCAACAGAGGACACUAUUUUGCAUACUGUAUUCUGCAUACUUCAGGAGAUGCAGAACAGUGUAUUUCUCACUUCUUGUUCUCCCUAGUUUGAAUUUCUCCUUGCAGCAGUGUAAUUAUUGUACCAUAUACCAGCAGUGGAAUUAAGAUGGCAG
ensembl:lncRNA